AUUGAACGCUGGCGGCAUGCUUUACACAUGCAAGUCGAACGGUAACAGGUCUUCGGAUGCUGACGAGUGGCGAACGGGUGAGUAAUGCAUCGGAACGUGCCCAGUCGUGGGGGAUAACGCAGCGAAAGCUGUGCUAAUACCGCAUACGAUCUAUGGAUGAAAGCGGGGGAUCGCAAGACCUCGCGCGAUUGGAGCGGCCGAUGUCAGAUUAGCUAGUUGGUGGGGUAAAGGCCCACCAAGGCGACGAUCUGUAGCUGGUCUGAGAGGACGACCAGCCACACUGGGACUGAGACACGGCCCAGACUCCUACGGGAGGCAGCAGUGGGGAAUUUUGGACAAUGGGCGAAAGCCUGAUCCAGCCAUGCCGCGUGCAGGAUGAAGGCCUUCGGGUUGUAAACUGCUUUUGUACGGAACGAAAAGGACUCUGGUUAAUACCUGGGUCCAUGACGGUACCGUAAGAAUAAGCACCGGCUAACUACGUGCCAG
rnacentral:rRNA from 1 species